rnacentral:rRNA from 1 species
CCUACGGGAGGCAGCAGUGGGGAAGAUUGGACAAUGGGGGGAACCCUGAUCCAGCCAUGCCGCGUGUGUGAAGAAGGCCCUCGGGUUGUAAAGCACUUUCAGUGAGGAAGAACGCCUGGUGGUUAAUACCCAUCAGGAAAGACAUCACUCACAGAAGAAGCACCGGCUAACUCCGUGCCAGCAGCCGCGGUAAUACGGAGGGUGCGAGCGUUAAUCGGAAUUACUGGGCGUAAAGCGCGCGUAGGUGGCUUGAUAAGCCGGUUGUGAAAGCCCCGGGCUCAACCUGGGAACGGCAUCCGGAACUGUCAAGCUAGAGUGCAGGAGAGGAAGGUAGAAUUCCCGGUGUAGCGGUGAAAUGCGUAGAGAUCGGGAGGAAUACCAGUGGCGAAGGCGGCCUUCUGGACUGACACUGACACUGAGGUGCGAAAGCGUGGGUAGCAAACAGGAUUAGAUACCCUAGUAGUC